rnacentral:rRNA from 1 species
AUUUAACGAGAGUUUGAUCCUGGCUCAGGAUGAACGCUGGCGGCGUGCUUAACACAUGCAAGUCGAGCGAAGCGCUUU